rnacentral:lncRNA from 1 species
CUUGGAUUUCCUCGACCCCUUGCUUUGCUAGGAAUCUUACUAAUAGAUGGUAAGUUGACACCCAUGCUCGGAGGAUGUUUAGGCAUGGUUAACUAAGGAUCGCGUUGUAUGCCGAUGAGACCCUAACAAUGAGGAAGUCAAGUCGCACUUCAGCAUGCCAGGGGGGUUGGCCAGCUAUUACUGAUAGUGUGAUGACCCCUUCCAUGAAAACUAUGCUCUCAGAGAAUCUGACUAGAGGGGAAUCAAUUUUUGCCGGUCGAUCCAAGAUUAGGUUCAUCUGAGAAAAGGCAACAUAAAAGAAGAUGUUGGUAGAGCUUCCAUUAUCAACUAAAAUAUAACAUAUAUCAAAAUUAUUUAUAUUUAAAGUUACAACAAUCACAUCGUUAUGCAGGGAUUGAACUUCCUGUGCAUCUUCCUUGAAGAAAAUGAUGAUGCCCCCUAUUUUUUGCUUCUUGGUCGAUGACUCUUCUAUUUUUGGCUCAUGAGGCUUGGUGCAACUGCCAAUCUACCCCCUAGUUAUGGUGUUUAUGAUGCUUGUGGUGGUCGGUUAUUCAGAUCUCCUUCGAGCCAAGGUUGCUGGGUUUGGGUCUCACCUCAUUCCCACCGAUCUCGAGGACUUGUCGAGAUGUCUAUGCCUAAUAAGCUCCUCAAUCUCAUAUUGGAGCUGAAUACAUUCUUUAGUAUCAUAUCCAUGGCCUCAGUGGUAUAGAUAGUACUUCUUCAGGUCACGUCUG